UACGUAGGUGGCAAGCGUUAUCCGGAUUUAUUGGGCGUAGAGGGAACGCAGGCGGUCUUUUAAGUCUGAUGUGAAAGCCUUCGGCUUAACCGGAGUAGUGCAUUGAAAACUGGGAGACUUGAGUGCAGAAGAGGAGAGUGGAACUCCAUGUGUAGCGGUGAAAUGCGUAGAUAUAUGGAAGAACACCAGUGGCGAAAGCGGCUCUCUGGUCUGUAACUGACGCUGAGGUUCGAAAGCGUGGGUAGCAAACAGG
rnacentral:rRNA from 1 species